AUUGAACGCUGGCGGCAGGCCUAACACAUGCAAGUCGAACGAGUGGCGGACGGGUGAGUAAUGUCUGGGAAACUGCCUGAUGGAGGGGGAUAACUACUGGAAACGGUAGCUAAUACCGCAUACCAUCAGAUGUGCCCAGAUGGGAUUAGCUAGUUGGUGGGGUAACGGCUCACCAAGGCGACGAUCCCUAGCUGGUCGGAGAGGAUGACCAGGCACAGUGGAACUGAGACACGGCCGGGACUCAUACGGGAGGCAGCAGGGGGGAAUAUAGCACAGUGGGCGCAGGACUGAUGGAGCCAGGCCGGGUGUAUGAAGAAGGCCUGUGGGUUGUAAAGUACUUUCAGCGGGGGGGCGUUACCCGCAGAAGAAGCACCGGCUAACUCCGUGCCAGCAGCCGCGGUAAUAC
rnacentral:rRNA from 1 species